GGGAGGUUCAAGGGAGUUUGAUGGAGAUCAAGAGGUAAGGGUCGGAAAGGAACUUAUGAUCUGAUCCUUGAACUAGAGGAUGUGGUAUACUAGGAAUCCUCAGACGCAAGCGCUGAAGGGUUCCUAAGUUUUACACAUACACCCUCGGGUUGAAGAAAACAAAAGAUCAUAGCCGAGCCCUCGGGCGAGGCGGAUAAGGGUCGGCGGAACAGAUAGGGUCGGGCGAGACGGAACCGGGGUCUGGCGGAUAAGAGGGGUCGGGCGAGGCGGACUGGGGUCGGCAGCUUACCUUCUUCCCAAAAGGAAAGCUUGGGGUUGGGAAGAAGCAGACUUGGGCAGAGGGAUUAAGGCUUUGAACAACAGCUAAG
rnacentral:lncRNA from 1 species